UCAACUUUCAACGACCACGACUGCGACUGGCCUGCCGCACUGAAUACUUGAAGCUUCAAAGCUGCUGCUGCAUCUUCUUCUUCUUCUUCUUCUUCUUCUUCACCUGUGCCUCGCCGGACGUCCUUGCGGAGAGGACCGAUCGCUCCGCCCGCCGGUCCCCUGCCCCGAAGAAGCUGGAGAGCCGAGGAUCGCCAUGGCGGUGCCAUGGGGUACGACUCUGUGGGUGGCGAGGCUGGUGUGGAUAGCCCUCAGGGGCUGGCUCUCCUCCUGCCUCACCGUCGCCGACGACGUCGCCGCCUCCAUCCGCACCGGCGACAUCGGCCCCUUCCACGUCGGCUGAUCCCGAUUCCCGCGGGGCGGGUCCCUGAUUAAACUUUAUAAAAAGGACGACGAUAUGCCGUAAGAAUGUGGAUAAGUGAAAUGCCAGAGACUUCAGAGAAUGACUUCGCCUGUAGCUCCUGCAAAGUGGGUGUGGUUGAGAUUGGAAGCAGUUGACGAGUGACUUAUAAUUGGAUAGGUGUUUCAUAUUUUGAUUGUGUUGGUUCAGAUGGCUCGUGUAACUGGUUCUGUUAUGGUUUUGUUCCAGUGUUUCAUCGCUAGCUAGAUCGUUAUGUUGCUUCAGCACUUAGCAUCUUUCGAAAUUGAAAGUUGCUCUAUCUGAUGUGGCUUUCCAUCUGAUGUGGUCCCAUAGGCAGUGGACAAAGUUUUUGAUUGUACAUAGGGUGAGAUUUUGAUGAAUUCUGGAAGUAAAUGAACUUUAUUCUCCACCUUAUUCUACUUUAUUCCCUUGAA